CCUACGGGAGGCAGCAGUGAGGAAUAUUGGUCAAUGGCCGGAAGGCUGAACCAGCCAUGCCGCGUGAAGGUCAGUGCCCUAUGGGCGUUAAACUUCUUUUGUGCGGGAGCAAUAAUGGUCACGUGUGGCCAGACGAGAGUACCGUACGAAUAAGCAUCGGCUAACUCCGUGCCAGCAGCCGCGGUAAUACGGGGGAUGCAAGCGUUAUCCGGAUUUAUUGGGGUUAAAGGGUGCGUAGGCUGUGAGGUAAGUCAGCGGUGAAAUGCCCCCGCUCAACGGGGUGAAGUGCCAUUGAUACUGCCUUGCUGGAAUGCGGAUGCCGUGGGAGGAAUGUGUGGUGUAGCGGUGAAAUGUAUAGAUAUCACACAGAACACCGAUUGCGAAGGCAUCUCACGAAUCCGCGAUUGACGCUGAUGCACGAAAGCGUGGGUAUCAAACAGGAUUAGAUACCCGUGUAGUC
rnacentral:rRNA from 1 species